rnacentral:rRNA from 1 species
UAUGUGAUCGUCUCUCGCAUAUCAAUAAGCGGAGGAAAAGAAACUAACAAGGAUUCCCCUAGUAACGGCGAGUGAAGCGGGAAGAGCUCAAAUUUGAAAUCUUAAAGGGUUUCCCUUUACGAAUUGUAGUUUAAAGAAGUGUUUUCUGUUGAGGUUUUGGUAAAAGUUCUUUGGAAUAGGACAUCAUAGAGGGUGAGAAUCCCGUAUUUGACCUUUACUUUCAACUUUGUGAUACACUUUCAAAGAGUCGGAUUGUUUGGGAAUGCAGUCCAAAAUGGGUGGUAAAUUUCAUCUAAAGCUAAAUAUUGGCGAGAGACCGAUAGCGAACAAGUACCGUGAGGGAAAGAUGAAAAGAACUUUGAAAAGAGAGUUAAACAGUACGUGAAAUUGUCAAAAGGGAAGCGUUUGACACCAGUGUUGUUUUUCUGAAAAUCAAUUAAAGAACUGUUUAUGCUAAGUUGUUUAGACUUUAUCAGCUAUCUGCUUAGUUUUGAGCUUUUCUUUAAUGCACUUUUCAGUUAACAAGUCAACAUCAAUUUCUUUUGCUGUAAAAAAGCUUGAGGAAGGUGGCUUGAGAUUCGUCUUAAGUGUUUAUAGCCUCUUGCCUAUGCAGUCGGAGAGAUUGAGGUCUGCAGCGUAGAUCCUUCGGGGCUAAAUGCAUUUGUGCUAAGUUAUAGCAUUUUAUAGACAACUUGUUGACUAUGAUUUGUCUUGUAGCUUACUCGCUUAUGUUAUUUUACCUACGCUUAGGAUGUUGACGAGACUGUCGAUCUC